rnacentral:rRNA from 1 species
GACGAACGCUGGCGGCGUGCUUAACACAUGCAAGUCGAACGAAGUGGCGAACGGGUGAGUAAUACGUGGGUAACCUGCCCUCCUUUUUGGGAUAAGCCUUGGAAACGGGGUCUAAUACCGAAUAAAGGGGGCUGGGCUCGCGGCCGAUCAGCUUGUUGGUGGGGUGAUGGCCUACCAAGGCGGUGACGGGUAGCCGGCCUGAGAGGGUGAUCGGGCACAUUGGGACUGCGAUACGGCCCAGACGCGUACGGGAGGGAGCUGUGGGGGAUAGUGCACAAUGGGCGAGAGCCUGAUGCGGCGACGCCGCGUGGGGGAUGAAGGCUUUCGGGUUGUAAACCUCUUUCGCAAGCGAACGGGUAGGUGGAGAAGAAGCGCCGGCUAACUACGUGCCAGCAGCCGCGGUAAUAC